UUGCAUGUAUUUGCACAGUUGGAUAAAGGGUUCAUGACCAGGGUUCAUUGCUUGCAUCUGCAAAUCAUUUAACUGAAUAGACCCAAGAACUUUAACUUAUGGUGGACAAGAAAAGCCGCCUAAACGGUAGGCUGCGACCUCAAAAUGUCCAGUUUGUGUUUUGGAUAGAAGAAUGUGACAGCGUGUGCACUAAACGACUGUUCAGACAACAAGCAGAGGCCAUCCAUGUCAGAACUGCCUAAAAUCAUCUUCACAAAGCAUCAACUAAGAUUAGAACAACCACUUUCCUACAAAAGUGCUCCCACUUUCCAGGUGUCUCUGCUCAAACCUGUCACUCAAGGAAAUUUCAGGAAAUGGUUCCCACAGCUGAAUCAUCCCCUCCUAUGGAUUUUGAAGAGCAUCUAGUUGACUUCAGGCAACGGUGCCUGUACUAUCUGCUGGACUGGAAGGGGCAUGGUCCAGAGGACACCUCCUGCUCUCAUCUAAAGACAUCCUUGAUGCCUCCUUAAUCACAGACUUUCACUGUGAGCAUCUGGACUGGCCUCCCUGGCUGAAAGGAAAACAUUAAAAUGCAUAAUUUGAUAAUAAAGUGUGAAAAAGUCUAAAUCAUGAAAUAUAAUGUUUAGAAAGUCAUUAUUCAUCAAAUAUGCACUAACACACUGUUUUCAUUAAAUACAUCUAUGUGCUAACAGACAUGUGAGCAUUGGGUGCUGAAAACAAUAUUUAGAGAGUUUCAAGGCAAUAGGAGCUUGGGAAAGUGGUUUUUCUAACAAACGCAUAUAUGCACGUGCAUGUAGUACUUUUCAAUGACAUUUUCACAUUUCUGAUGAAAACUGAUACGAAAAAUGAUUGUUUACAUUAAAAUGCAUAAUUUCAUAAUAAAGUGUGAAAAAGUAUAAAUCGUUAGCAAUAAUGUUUAGAAAAUCAUUAUUCAUCAAAUAUGCACUAACAUAGUUUUUAUUACAAACAUCUAUGUCCUACUCAUCACAGGGGUGUUUCAACUUCAGGAGCCGAUCCAUUGGGCGGGCUCCUGCCCAGGACAAUACUCUUGCAUGUCACCAGAGGGCAAUGUCACCAAAGUUCAACUCCUGUUGCAUUUAGCACUUCUGGGUCAAAGACUAUAUAGGCAAACAACACACGUGUCAAGUCUUGCCUCUUUAAUUAGUGUGUAAGUUCUGAGCUUAUAUACUGUUUCUGCCUUGCCUGUGUUUAGUUCUUGCUAUUCCCUGUCUCGUUUAUGCUAUUGGAUUGUCCCUCUCUGGGUUUGGCUAUUUUGGAUAUUUGGUGGUAUUGACCUUAUGCCUGUUUAUAACUAUGAUUCCUAUGAUUCU